AGGCUGGAUUUAGCCUUCUUAGCGGAUUUGCUCCACCCCCAUAUGAGUCAGAGGUUUUUACGAGCGCUCCAGUAGUGACAGCUCAAAGCUGUCCACGUCAACACUAAACACCACCAUGGACUCCGUGGCUCUGGAACCUUCGUUGUACACAGUGAAGGCAGUCUUUAUCUUGGAUAAUGACGGAAACCGACUUCUUUCCAAGUACUACGACACAGAGCUGUAUCCCUCUAUAAAGGAGCAGAAAAAUUUCGAGAAGAACGUCUUCAACAAAACACAUAAAGCAGACAAUGAAAUAGCCUUCCUGGAGGGCAUGACUAUAGUGUACAAGAGCAGCAUAGACCUGUUCUUCUACGUUGUUGGCAGUGCACAGGAGAAUGAGCUGAUGCUGAUGGCAGUGUUGAACUGUUUGUUUGAGUCUCUAAAUCUGAUCCUGAGGAAAAACGUGGAGAAACGAUGUCUGCUGGAUAAUUUGGAUGGAGCUUUUCUGGUGGUGGAUGAGAUCAUAGAUGGAGGGGUGAUCCUGGAGAGCGACCCGCAGCAGGUAGUUGAGAAGGUCAACUACAGGUUUGUGUCAGAGCAAGCCUUUGGCUUUGUCCUGUUCGAUUACAUCACGGGUAACAUGGAGGCCCAGGCACAGAAGAGCCAGCCUUUUUAAGAAAAGACACUCUUCCUCUCUACCUCCUUCUCACAGUUAAGAGAGAGAAGUGGAGGAAACAGGAGGGGGAGGGAGAGAGAAUAUAGACUGAUGACAACCCGCUAUCAGAACACAGUGUGGCUCAGGUGUUACAGACGGCAAAAGAACAGAUCAAGUGGUCAAUACUGAAAUAAUCCUCUUCACACUGAGUGGAUCUGUAAUGUUGUACCCAUCCGACUUUAUAUUUUCUGAAACCCACUAGGCUAAUUAAUUAUGAUACUAGCUGUAGGUUCAGCUGUUUUUAUUAUUAAGCCAUUCAGAUUUGAAUGCUUUAUUAAACAGGUUAUACUGUGCAUAAAACUAAGAAGAAGGGUCAUUUUCCACACAUUUUGAGUUUGAUGGCUGUUAUUCCAGAAGCUCCUUGUAUAAUUUAAUAAUUUGGACAGUAACCAUCACCUGAUUUGCACUGAAUAUGUUCAGCUUGUACACCAGAUGCUAGAAUUUAAAAACUGUGUUCUGUAAAAAGGGCAAGCAAAAAAAAAUAUAUGUAUUGUAUUUAUUAUUGUAAGAUUAAGUACAAUUACAAUUACAAUUGUUGCACGCAUCUUUCAGUUAUAGCCAAACUGAUUUUUUGGGUUUUGUUUUUUUUUUAACAAUUAUUUGUUAUUUUAAACUUUUAUCUGUACAAUGUUUGAAUGCAUUAGAAAUCACAUUUUCUAGAUCUGUUUGUCCAAAUGACAUCUGCUUUUUAAUUGGAGAUAAGGAGACACUUCAACAAGUGGCUUUGUUACAUUGGGUUACUUCUGUAAAUUUUAUUACACUGGGCCUAUUGUCAGGCCCUGCACUAUCCAAAUGCUAUUUUUGACUAAAACUCAAAUCUUGUUCAGAAGCCAAAGAGUAAAUGUAAAGGCAAACUUAUAUGUUACUGAAUAAAUAUAAUAACAUUAUAUUCAUGCCCUGUCUUAACUAUUAGUCACAUUUAUUUAAGCUAUUUCUAACGAAAACUUUAAUAAGAUGAGGGUUUUUGCUUACCUGUAGUCCUACGGUGUUUAAAAGAAUUACAUUUAUGAAUCCCUAGAUGUUUUUAUUUUGGUAGAAGUAGUCUACAGUGUGUGAUGUUUUAUUUCAGAAACACCUUACAGGAUUUGGAAAUAAUCUGUGGAUGUUUAAUAAAUGUUAUUUUCUGAAGCCA